rnacentral:rRNA from 2 species
CGGUGGGAUACUAUACAUGCAGUCGAGCGAAUGGAUUAAGAGCUUGCUCUUAUGAAGUUAGCGGCGGACGGGUGAGUAACACGUGGGUAACCUGCCCAUAAGACUGGGAUAACUCCGGGAAACCGGGGCUAAUACCGGAUAACAUUUUGAACCGCAUGGUUCGAAAUUGAAAGGCGGCUUCGGCUGUCACUUAUGGAUGGACCCGCGUCGCAUUAGCUAGUUGGUGAGGUAACGGCUCACCAAGGCAACGAUGCGUAGCCGACCUGAGAGGGUGAUCGGCCACACUGGGACUGAGACACGGCCCAGACUCCUACGGGAGGCAGCAGUAGGGAAUCUUCCGCAAUGGACGAAAGUCUGACGGAGCAACGCCGCGUGAGUGAUGAAGGCUUUCGGGUCGUAAAACUCUGUUGUUAGGGAAGAACAAGUGCUAGUUGAAUAAGCUGGCACCUUGACGGUACCUAACCAGAAAGCCACGGCUAACUACGUGCCAGCAGCCGCGGUAAUACGUAGGUGGCAAGCGUUAUCCGGAAUUAUUGGGCGUAAAGCGCGCGCAGGUGGUUUCUUAAGUCUGAUGUGAAAGCCCACGGCUCAACCGUGGAGGGUCAUUGGAAACUGGGAGACUUGAGUGCAGAAGAGGAAAGUGGAAUUCCAUGUGUAGCGGUGAAAUGCGUAGAGAUAUGGAGGAACACCAGUGGCGAAGGCGACUUUCUGGUCUGUAACUGACACUGAGGCGCGAAAGCGUGGGGAGCAAACAGGAUUAGAUACCCUGGUAGUCCACGCCGUAAACGAUGAGUGCUAAGUGUUAGAGGGUUUCCGCCCUUUAGUGCUGAAGUUAACGCAUUAAGCACUCCGCCUGGGGAGUACGGCCGCAAGGCUGAAACUCAAAGGAAUUGACGGGGGCCCGCACAAGCGGUGGAGCAUGUGGUUUAAUUUCGAAGCAACGCGAGAACCCUUACCAGGUCUUGACAUCCUCUGACAACCCUAGAGAUAGGGCUUCUCCUUUCGGAGCAGAGUGACAGUGCUGCAUGGAUGUCGUCAGCUCGUGUCGUGAGAUGUGGGUUAAGUCCCGCACGAGCGCACCCUUGAUCUAGCUGGCAAUCAAUAAUCAGCAUGUAAGUGACUGCUGUGACAACCGGAGGAAGCGU